GUAUUAGGUUGGUCAAAUUGACGA
rnacentral:miRNA from 1 species